GAUGAACGCUGCGGCGCGCCUAACACAUGCAAGUCGAACGAUUAAAGCACCUUCGGGUGUGUAUAAAGUGGCGAACGGCUGAGUAACACGUGGGCAACCUGCCCCUCUCAUUGGGAUAGCCACGGGAAACCGUGGAUAAUACCGAAUACUUCGAGACUUCCGCAUGGAAGACUCGAGAAAGCUCCGGCGGAGAGGGAUGGGCCCGCGGCCUGUUAGCUUGUUGGUGGGGUAACGGCCUACCAAGGCAAUGAUGGGUAGCUGGGUUGAGAGACCGACCAGCCAGAUUGGGACUGAGACACGGCCCAGACUCCUACGGGAGGCAGCAGUGGGGAAUCUUGCACAAUGGGCGAAAGCCUGAUGCAGCGACGCCGCGUGCGGGAUGAAGGCCUUCGGGUUGUAAACCGCUUUCAGCAGGGACGAGGCGAAAGUGACGGUACCUGCAGAAAAGCCCGG
rnacentral:rRNA from 2 species